ACACUUACAUCGACCUUGUUCUCAUCCCAAUUUUAGAUUCUUUCUUGACGGAUAUCAUUUGUAUCACUCUAUCUAGUUCAGCUCAGCUCAUUGUAUUCGAUCUUAUUCGUCAAUAAAGUCCAUUUUUACCCACUGGAAACUGUUUAACAUCGUUGUAUUCUAAAGAUACCGUUGCCUACAUCAUUUGUCUUCCCUAGAUCAAACCCCGAUCA
rnacentral:lncRNA from 1 species